rnacentral:rRNA from 1 species
GUCGGGAAAUCCACUCGCCUAACGAGUGGGCGUCCGGCGGAAACUACAGGGCUUGGGACCGGAAGACUUGAGGGGUACGUCUGGGGUAGGAGUGAAAUCCUGUAAUCCUGGACGGACCGCCGAUAGCGAAAGCACCUCAAGACGACGGAUCCGACAGUGAGGGACGAAAGCUAGGGUCUCGAACCGGAUUAGAUACCCGG